CAAGCAGGCACCACGACAGGAAUGCUGCUGCUGCUGCCACUCCUGGCCCUGGCUGAAGCCUGGUUGCAUCCAUUCCCCUCCCCGUGGAGGCUCCACUUGCAGCAGCAGCAGGAGGCUGUCCUGCCUACACCUGCGGGCAGCAGGCUGGCAGUGCUUGCUGCCUUUUCUCUCCUUCUGAUCCAUGGACAUGCACAAGUGCUGCUGCAACAGAGUCCACCAUCUGUUACCAAAAUGGGAUCCAAAAGUGUGACUAUUGAGUGCAAAGCCGAGGGCAUAGCUAACUUCCAGGCUGCCUACAUCCACUGGUACCGACAACUGCCUGACAAAGCUCCUGAACGGCUUCUCUAUGUGACAGCAGCAUCACAAGUUUCCUAUGAUUCCGAAUCCUAUAGGAACAAAUAUUCGUCUUAUAAAAGAGAGAAUAACAUCUGCACUCUCUCAGUUGACAGCAUACAGGAUGGAGAUGCAGGUACCUACUACUGUGCCUACUGGGAGUCUCACAGCGGGAGCAGCCUGCAGGCAGCCCUUACAGAAGCUGGCUGCAACCUGAGCGGCACACUUUCAUACAAGCCCAUGGAAACAGAGGAUCUGAAAGAAAAAAGUUAA